GAUCCUGGCUCAGAAUCAACGCUGGCGGCGUGCCUAACACAUGCAAGUCGAACGCGACUGGGGGCUUCGGUCCUCAGUUGAGUGGCGAACGGGUGAGUAACACGUGGGUGAUCUACCUUUGAGUGGGGGAUAACGUCCCGAAAGGGGCGCUAAUACCGCAUGACGUUCUGGGUUUGAAGACCUGGAAACCAAAGCCGGGGACCGCAAGGCCUGGCGCUUGAAGAGGAGCCCGCGUCCGAUUAGCUAGUUGGCGGGGUAACGGCCCACCAAGGCGACGAUCGGUAGCCGGCCUGAGAGGGCGGACGGCCACACUGGAACUGAGACACGGUCCAGACUCCUACGGGAGGCAGCAGUGGGGAAUUGUUCACAAUGGGCGCAAGCCUGAUGACGCAACGCCGCGUGGGGGAUGAAGGUCUUCGGAUCGUAAACCCCUGUCGAACGGGACGAAAGGCUUUGGGGCUAAUCACCCAGAGAGUGACGGUACCGUUAAAGGAAGCCACGGCUAACUCUGUGCCAGCAGCCGCGGUAAUACAGAGGUGGCAAGCGUUGUUCGGAAUUACUGGGCGUAAAGGGCGCGUAGGCGGCCAUCUAAGUCAGACGUGAAAUCCCCCGGCUUAACCUGGGAACUGCGUCUGAUACUGGACGGCUUGAGUAUGGGAGAGGGAUGUAGAAUUCCAGGUGUAGCGGUGA
rnacentral:rRNA from 1 species